ACGGGGGCCCGCACAAGCGGUGGAGUAUGUGGUUUAAUUCGAUGCAACGCGAAGAACCUUACCUGGUCUUGACAUCCCGGAGACCCUUAGGAAACUAGGGGUGCUUCCAUCUGGAAGAAUCUGGAGACAGGUGCUGCAUGGCUGUCGUCAGCUCGUGUCGUGAGAUGUUGGGUUAAGUCCCGCAACGAGCGCAACCCUUGCCUUUAGUUGCCAGCAGUUCGGCUGGGCACUCUAAAGGGACUGCCGGUAGUUAAACCGGAGGAAGGGUGGGGAUGACGUCAAGUCCUCAUGGCCCUUUAUGACCAGGGCUACACACGUACUACAAUGGUCGGUACAAAGGGUUGCCAAGCCGCGAGGUGGAGCUAAUCCCAUAAAACCGAUCGUAGUCCGGAUCGCAGUCUGCAACUCGACUGCGUGAAGUCGGAAUCGCUAGUAAUCGUGAAUCAGAAUGUCACGGUGAAUACGUUCCCGGGCCUU
rnacentral:rRNA from 1 species